GAUGAACGCUAGCGGGAGGCCUAACACAUGCAAGCCGAGCGGUAUUGUUUCUUCGGAAAUGAGAGAGCGGCGUACGGGUGCGUGACACGUGUGCAACCUGCCUUUAUCUGGGGGAUAGCCUUUCGAAAGGAAGAUUAAUACUCCAUAAUAUAUUGAACGGCAUCGUUUAAUAUUGAAAGCUCCGGCGGAUAGAGAUGGGCACGCGCAAGAUUAGCUAGUUGGUGAGGUAACGGCUCACCAAGGCGAUGAUCUUUAGGGGGCCUGAGAGGGUGAUCCCCCACACUGGUACUGAGACACGGACCAGACUCCUACGAGAGGCAGCAGUGAGGAAUAUUAGUCAAUGGGUGCAAGACUGAACCAGCCAUCCCGCGUGAAGGACAACUGCCCUAUGGGUUGUAAACUUCUUUUGUAUAGGGAUAAACCUACCCUCGUGAGGGUAGCUGAAGGUACUAUACGAAUAAGCACCGGCUAACUCCGUGCCAGCAGCCGCGGUAA
rnacentral:rRNA from 1 species